AACCAUUCUCACCUGCGGCUAGACCUGCGGAAGGAUCAUUAAUGAUUGACCGAAAGGUCCUAUCUUAACAUCCCUCACCUCUGUGAACCGUUUGACCUCCGGGUCUAACAAACUAUACAAACAUCAGUGUAAUGAACGUCUUGUUAUCUUAACAAAAACAAAACUUUUAACAACGGAUCU
rnacentral:misc_RNA from 1 species